rfam:Salmo salar isolate Sally breed double haploid chromosome ssa28, whole genome shotgun sequence.
UGGAACCGGUCGUGUAGGAAGAUGCGGGGAAAUGCAAAAAUCUGAGAAAGAGAAGGAAAAGUUUUGAAUUUCUUAACGAUUUAGAAAGGCGGCUUAGGAUAAUUAUGUCAGCUUUAUUGAGGGUGGAUUAGCCGACGUAUAUAUGCUGUGUUUCACUACGUUUUAUACAUGCGCUUAUACAAUGUGA